CAGCCGCCGCGGGAAUACAGAGGGUGCGAGCGUUAAUCGGAUUUACUGGGCGUAAAGCGUGCGUAGGCGGCUUUUUAAGUCGGAUGUGAAAUCCCUGAGCUUAACUUAGGAAUUGCAUUCGAUACUGGGAAGCUAGAGUAUGGGAGAGGAUGGUAGAAUUCCAGGUGUAGCGGUGAAAUGCGUAGAGAUCUGGAGGAAUACCGGUGGCGAAGGCGGCCCCCUGGACAAAGACUGACGCUCAGGUGCGAAAGCGUGGGGAGCAAACAGGAUUAGAUACCCGUGUAGUCCCUGUCUCUUAUAC
rnacentral:rRNA from 1 species